rnacentral:rRNA from 1 species
GACGAACGCUGGCGGCGUGCUUAACACAUGCAAGUCGAACGGAAAGGCCCUGCUUUUGUGGGGUGCUCGAGUGGCGAACGGGUGAGUAACACGUGAGUAACCUGCCCUUGACUUUGGGAUAACUUCAGGAAACUGGGGCGAAUACCGGAUAGGAGCUCCUGCUGCAUGGUGGGGGUUGGAAAGUUUCGGCGGUUGGGGAUGGACUCGCGGCUUAUCAGCUUGUUGGUGGGGUAGUGGCGUACCAAGGCUUUGACGGGUAGCCGGCCUGAGAGGGUGACCGGCCACAUUGGGACUGAGAUACGGCCCAGACUCCUACGGGAGGCAGCAGUGGGGAAUAUUGCACAAUGGGCGGAAGCCUGAUGCAGCAACGCCGCGUGCGGGAUGACGGCCUUCGGGUUGUAAACCGCUUUCGCCUGUGACGAAGCGUGAGUGACGGUAAUGGGUAAAGAAGCACCGGCUAACUACGUG